GAGGUAAAGGACAGUAGUUUAGCUCACGUACAGAUCACAAAUCACUGAGUCCAAUGAAGUGGGAUCCCAUCUGUAGUACAUCCUUCGUUCAAGUAAUCAGUUUUGCUGUGAGUGCCUCUGAGAUUUCGACGUGAAAAUUUUAGCACAGAAGCAACACGCUCACUACCAUCAGACAUUACUUAGUGCCACGAAUUCAGCACGAUUUCAGCACUUCAGAAAACUAUUUUACUCCUCACGCUCUGGAACAGCUCUCGAUGUACAGACAACCGUGAUGAACUAGACUACGUACGCAAAGUUGUGAAGCUUUGACGGAGAUUUAACUGCAAGCAUAUCAGAACUCAACCUCAAGGAAAACAUUGAAAGCGGAGAUCAAAACAGGCGGAGAUCCUCCUGUAUACGUUGAGAGGUAACUCUUCGGUGGCACAACAUUCUUUGCAAAAUCCACCUGAGAAAAUUGGAAACAGUGUAUUUGUUGUACUCCUUGGAGAUUUGCUUUCACCAUCCAAAGCUUGACAGCUAGUCAGUGGUCUCGUGUACGGUCGAAAGCAUAGAUGUUGGGGUUGCACUGCAGAUGGAUAUCAAUUUCUUCAGUCUCCUUCACCCUAAACAUUCUUCUAGGCAUAGUGUGCCGUUCAACGGUUUUACUCAUUCCUACUCAGGGGAUAGGUUGCAACAAGUUAAAAAUUUCCACAGUGAUGGAGUGAAGAGAAGGAAAUGCAUAACCUGCGUAAGAGUGCGAUCUUUCAGUCGAAGCUCUUGAGUCAAAAGGGAUCGAGUUCCAACACGAUACCGCAGCUCUCACAGAAAUUCACCCAUUUCUCGUGCAAUCGGAAUGAUUACAAUUGGAUCUGUGGAAAUCGAUCAACCUGGAACAAUUGGUCUCAGUCAAUUCAUUACCAAUGGCAUACAUAAAUUAUUUUGACGGCUU
rnacentral:lncRNA from 1 species